rnacentral:rRNA from 1 species
CGUUAGCGGCGGACGGGUGAGUAACACGUGGAUAACCUACCUAUAAGACUGGGAUAACUUCGGGAAACCGGAGCUAAUACCGGAUAAUAUAUUGAACCGCAUGGUUCAAUAGUGAAAGACGGUUUUGCUGUCACUUAUAGAUGGAUCCGCGCCGCAUUAGCUAGUUGGUAAGGUAACGGCUUACCAAGGCGACGAUGCGUAGCCGACCUGAGAGGGUGAUCGGCCACACUGGAACUGAGACACGGUCCAGACUCCUACGGGAGGCAGCAGUAGGGAAUCUUCCGCAAUGGGCGAAAGCCUGACGGAGCAACGCCGCGUGAGUGAUGAAGGUCUUCGGAUCGUAAAACUCUGUUAUUAGGGAAGAACAAAUGUGUAAGUAACUAUGCACGUCUUGACGGUACCUAAUCAGAAAGCCACGGCUAACUACGUGCCAGCAGCCGCGGUAAUACGUAGGUGGCAAGCGUUAUCCGGAAUUAUUGGGCGUAAAGCGCGCGUAGGCGGUUUUUUAAGUCUGAUGUGAAAGCCCACGGCUCAACCGUGGAGGGUCAUUGGAAACUGGAAAACUUGAGUGCAGAAGAGGAAAGUGGAAUUCCAUGUGUAGCGGUGAAAUGCGCAGAGAUAUGGAGGAACACCAGUGGCGAAGGCGACUUUCUGGUCUGUAACUGACGCUGAUGUGCGAAAGCGUGGGGAUCAAACAGGAUUAGAUACCCUGGUAGUCCACGCCGUAAACGAUGAGUGCUAAGUGUUAGGGGGUUUCCGCCCCUUAGUGCUGCAGCUACGCAUUAAGCACUCCGCCUGGGAAGUACGACCGCAAGGUUG